CUCCCGCACGAACACAGCCCCACUCCACCUCCACCUUCUUCCGCGCUCCCCGCCCCCCGGGUCCCAGCCUCCUUCCCCCGACCUCCUUCCUUGCGCGUCGCCGCCGCGCUGCCGUGACCCUGCCGCCGCAGCACCCCACCCACCAUUACCUGCCGCCGCCCACCACCACCUACCGGGAUCUGGCCGGCAACCACGGGAUCGAUCCCGACCACCACGGAUUCCCACCACACCACCACCUCCACCUCCACCUCCCGUCCCGCACACCCCAAAAUCCCGGCCACUGCCGCCUCGCCUCCUCCUCCUCCUGCCCGGCGCGGCCCUCCUCCCACCUGGCGCCGCCCCGCCUCCUCCUCCCGCCCGGUGCAGCCCCGCCUCAUCCUCCUCCCGCCUGGCGCGGCCUCCUUCCACCUGGCGCCGCCUCGUCUCCUCCUCCCGGCCGGCGCGCCUCCGUCCCGCAGCGCCGCCCUGGCGAUGGCCCCGGCCCCGCCCCACUCCAGCCACGGCAGUUUUUUCUACUACUGUGAGUGUGUGUGCAGUCCACCGGCCCCCUCCUCUGCUUCAGAUCCCGUGCAACCUUCCGAUGCAGUUCGUCGCACCAACCCCCUGCAGCUCUCUCCUCCCCAAUCCAUGGACCCCGCGCCGGAUCCGGGUUCUUCCCUCGUGCAUCGUCCUCUUCUCGCACCGAUCCCCGCCAUGGUCGCGCGGAUCCCCGAGAGUUCGAGGUGUGCCACCCCCGCCGUGGUCCUGCCUACUUCCCCUCCUUCCCUGCUACACCAGCAGGGCGUCGGUCACAGGAUCUGCCUCCCCCUAUUUGCAGCUCCUUUGUUUCUUUUUUGCAGCUCGCUAAGUAUAAUUUUGAAGUUCAGUGAGAUCCAUGCGCGCCGGAUCACGCGUUGCCGACCCCCCUGCAUGCCUCCUCGCAUGCGAGGUGCUGUGCUGUGUAGGGAGGUGUCUACACCAGCGUCGGCGCCCGUCCACCAUGAUUUGAGGAGUUUGUAUGUCACCUUUGCUCACCAGUAGUUCUGCAGAUUAACUUUACUGUCUGUCCACACCACUGGGUUGGGUUAGUUUCUCUGCAACCUGAGUAUCUUGUAAGAAGAAUGCAGAAAGGGGAACAACUAGUGCCUCGGCGAUGGUGAACUAGCACAUAAAGCUUAUUUAGAUUUUUGAGCAUACAACCAUGUUCCGUUUAUUCCAUUUUUGUGCUUUCCUUUUAAACUGUUAUGAUGUUUUGGUUCAAGUUUAACACAUGCUAGAGUGCACGCAUGUUCUUUUGUAAGGAACUAAAACUUAUGCAUGUGAUACAUACAAGAAGGAAGAUGGAAAUGGGACUUUUAAGGUUUGCGUAUGAAGGGAAAUUUAGUUUUCUGUAGAUUUACCUCAGUUACAUUAAAUGUUCUUUUAACAAUUGGCAAAGUCCUGAUGCUGUUAUGUAUCUACUUCUCUCUUCUGUAGUUGUUGCAUUUAAUUGCUUGUCCAGCUCUCUUAUGUCCCCGUCAUCGCCCACAUCGGAGGCUCUGCCAUCGCUGGAUCCCGGCAUCCCCGGGCCCUGCAGGAGGGAUACCGACAUCAACGUCCCCUUCCCUGACCAUCUAGAAGGAGGUGGUCGUCCCUGUCUGUCGCUGCAGUCCGCACGGUGGGCGUCCGCAGCACAUCGCCGACAAAGGUGGAUCCAAGGGGCACCCGUGCAGUCCACUGCGUGGGUGCACGCAGCAUGCCGGCACUCCCCUUUGCAGUCCAUAAUGUGGGUUCAGCCCAUAGCGGCAUGCAGCUCUGCCCAUGGGCAUAUGAAGUACGCUAUGACGAGCAUGUAUACAUGGUUUCGGGAGCAAAACAUCAGCGUGCGAUUCAGUGUUUUUUUGCUGCAGUUCACUACUCAUUCGUACCACUUUACUCUUUUUUUAAUGGGAAUCUUCGGUGCAAUGAAUUAUUCUAUCCGCUAUUUUUGAUGUUCAGUUUACUAGUUUUUGCAGGAGAUGGCGGACAAAAAAAGAGGGAGAAAUGAGUCUCAAGCACAUACUGCGUGAGCACCUCGGUUAGCCGGCGAUCUGCAGUAUGUUGAAUGGUAUCACUCCAGUUCACAUCGCCCCAUGGCCGACUCCGGCGGCCUGCUUUGGUCGCCUUCUUGCUGCAGUUUUGCUAUUGCACGACAUACGAUUCAAUAGCGCCAGUAGGGUCGCGUGGGGAGGACUACACCUUCAGGAGGUGGUGUUUGCGAACAAUCCAGAGGCCCAAUUCAUUUUUGAAAAAUUUGUUUGAGACUUGUUAUGUAAACUGCAGAAGCUUGUUUGUAAAAUAGUUACCCUAAUGUAGUUCGUUGUAAAUCCUAAAGAGGCUCAUUUUGUGGGCAAGUAAGACAAAAAAAUCCACGAGAGGUUCACUUCUUUUCCA